CUUGAUGCCACCGAGGUACAGCGGCCGGUCCGCCGGCCGGUCCCGGCCGUAGGUGGCGAGCAGGGCCUGGGCCUC
rnacentral:antisense_RNA from 1 species